CCUACGGGUGGCUGCAGUGGGGAAUAUUGCACAAUGGGCGCAAGCCUGAUGCAGCCAUGCCGCGUGUGUGAAGAAGGCCUUCGGGUUGUAAAGCACUUUCAGCGGGGAGGAAGGCGGUGAGGUUAAUAACCUCAUCGAUUGACGUUACCCGCAGAAGAAGCACCGGCUAACUCCGUGCCAGCAGCCGCGGUAAUACGGAGGGUGCAAGCGUUAAUCGGAAUUACUGGGCGUAAAGCGCAGGCAGGCGGUCUGUCAAGUCGGAUGUGAAAUCCCCGGGCUCAACCUGGGAACUGCAUUCGAAACUGGCAGGCUAGAGUCUUGUAGAGGGGGGUAGAAUUCCAGGUGUAGCGGUGAAAUGCGUAGAGAUCUGGAGGAAUACCGGUGGCGAAGGCGGCCCCCUGGACAAAGACUGACGCUCAGGUGCGAAAGCGUGGGGAGCAAACAGGAUUAGAUACCCCUGUAGUC
rnacentral:rRNA from 1 species